GCCCUUGAUUAUAAAAGUGGGUUUUUUUUCUAAUUAAAUUUAAAUACGCUUGAUUACACUUAAUGUUUUGAAAGUUGGAUCUACCUUGCAAGCUAGAGAUUUUCCAGUCCAGAAUGAACUAUACUUGGUAGAAUAUUUUUAAGCCAAAAAAAGUUUGUUUUUUGCGACAUGUCCAAACCAGAAGAUUAGGAAAAGACACCAUAC
rnacentral:lncRNA from 1 species